UACAACAUAUCAUUAAUGAUGCGGAUCCCAUUAGGACUCUGUAGUUAAGCACACUUAGGCUAGAGUAAUAAUGGGAUGGGAGACCACUCGGGAAGUCCUAGUGUCUUAC
rnacentral:rRNA from 1 species